GUAGCACAAUCACUUGUCCCUUAAAUGAGGACGCGUAUGAAAGGCAACAUGAGAGAAAACCUGUCUCCUAAGGAAUGCCAAUGAAAUUGAACUGCCAGUUCAAAAGCUGGUAUAAAAAAGCAAGACAAAAAGACCCUGUGGAACUUUAAUUAACUGCUUUACAUAAUAUAAACCAGUAAUUUCAGUUGGGACAACUUUAGAAAAAAUAAACUUCCUAAUCUUACUAGACUAACUAGUCCAAAACAACCAUGACCCAGUAACACUGAUUAACGAAACAAGCUACCCCAGGGAUAACAGCGCCACCUUCUCAAAGAGUCCAUAUCAACAAGAAGAUCUACGACCUCGAUGUUGGAUCAGGGUACCCAGACGGUGCAGCAGCUGUCAAUGGUUCGUUUGUUCAACGAUUAAUACCCU
rnacentral:rRNA from 1 species